ACAAUCAGAACUGUGAAAACUAAAUUGAUGAGCGUGUUUGCCACUAAAUUUGCCCGGGAUGUAGAUGCAGAAACUCUUGCUCCGUUAAGGUCUUUUGUUUACACGGAUGAUCAAUGACAGCGUGAAGGUGAAGCAGGCUUUUAGCCGAGUCAUCAUGAAGUGUUCACUGGAGCCUUUUGUGGCUGGUAUCUGGAAUUGGUUGGAUUAUAGGAACUCGAUAAGGGCUAUGACACCAACAGAGUAAAUUCACAGACUCCGCCCC